UACGUAGGCAGCAAGCGUUGUUCGGAGUUACUGGGCGUAAAGGGUGCGUAGGUGGCUCUAUAAGUAUGGUGUGAAAUCUCCCGGCUUAACUGGGAGGGUGCGCCGUAGACUGUGGGGCUAGAGUGUGGGAGAGGAAAGUGGAAUUCCUGGUGUAGCGGUGAAAUGCGUAGAUAUCAGGAGGAACACCAGUGGCGAAGGCGAGUCUCUGGACAUUUCCUGACGCUGAGGCACGAAAGCCAGGGGAGCAAACGGG
rnacentral:rRNA from 1 species